GGGGAUCCAGGAAAGUGGGGUAGCGGCCUCGGGCUCGCAUGUGGAGGGAGCGUGCGGACGCUCCCCAAAGCCGAAGAAAGCUGCAAGGCACUGGGUGAGGGGCCGGAAAGGGCAAGAGAGGCAGCCGCACACUGUUACCAUUCCAGGCUUGUGUGGGAGAAGACGGCUGUGCCCCUGUGUCUGUCCCGGGCGACUCCAGCCGUUGGUUAAUAAAAGACACAGGAAUGCUGGAUCCAAGCCACAUCUGAUCUAUACCACAGCUUUUGGCAACUCCAGAUCCUUAACCCACUGAGCAAGACCAGGGAUCAAACCCGAGUCGUUGUGGAUACUAGUCGGGUUCCUUAACCACUGAGUCAUGAACUACUAUAAAAUGAUUUUUAUGAAGAGCCUGAAAUACAUGGGAAAUGAGAUGAUAAACUGCCAAAGCAGCAAAGACAUGUUCAGAGACCUGGAGGAUAGAAUCGGAAGAGCUUAUGUACAUCUAGAAGAGUUUCUGGAGGGGAGAAAAUAGAGUAUGAAGGAGGAGCAGUCUCCAUAGAGAUGAUGUGUGAGAAUUUGUCAGACUUGAAGAAAAACAAGUUAUCAGAUCAAAGAAAGAUGCUAAGUCUCAAGCAGAAUAAACUUUUAAAAAAGUUUUUGGCCGUAUCCACAUCAUGUGGAAGUUCCCAGGCCAGGGAUCAAACCGUCAUCACAGCAGUGACAACACCAGAUCAUUAACCCACUGAGUCACCAGGGAAUUCCCACAAGCAGCAUACAUUUUUUUUUUUUUUAAGUUGAGACCUGUACAUAGUAGUGAAGUUAGAAGAUACCAAACACAGUAAGAAAAUGUUAAAAAGUUACCACUGAGAAAAGUCAAAGCAUCUUAAAAGGAAAGAGAGUCAUCCUGUCGGCAGAAUUAUCAAUAGCAAUAACAACAGAUUACUGAAGACAUUGGAAAAUUGGCAACUAUCUUGGUUACUCUAAAUCAGUUGUAUUUUUUUUAAGUGCCAAUAUUUUGGAAUUUUAAAACCAAGUGAAAUUAAAAUAUUAGCCCUUAAAAAUGUGGUAGAUGAUGGUAGAAGGAUUAAAGACAAUUCUUUUUAUUCCAAAGUGAAAUCUUCCAAAAUUUUAGACUUUGACAAGCUAUUACAUUGGUUAAAAUUCUUUGUUGCAAACAACAUGGGAGAGCUGGUUGGGGGGGGGGGAAGCUUGGGCUGAGCUUCUAGAAAAAGUGCUCUAAACCAUAUAACAGAACUGGCAUGGUAAAGAAACUGCUGCUGCUCCUAUCAAGUACCAAAUGCCAAGAGCUCAACUUUACUUCAUCUGCUCCUGCCAUCAGCAUCAAUGCCAGUUCUGUGUCAGAAACUUGAUCUUGCAGCCACUAGGUGUUGGCCUCUACCUGUACCUGGACAGUGAAAGGCACAUGCAGGGCUUGUAUCCUCACAUCCACACAUUUCCACUGCUGCUUCUGGUUUGCAGAGCCAGUGUCAUAGGUCUGCAUCCUAGCUGCAAGGGAAGCAGAGAAUUUGAGUUCUCGAUUUUAUCAGAGAAGUGGGAGCUGCAACUAGGGAAUUAUACCAAACAUAUGAAGGCUACUUAAAAGAUUAUGACAGCUUUGAAGAUGACAGAGUCUAAUAGUGAUAUACAUAUUGAGUGAAGGAGUAUAUUCACCAAAAUAAGAGAAAUAACUUGUGUAACUCCCAAACCUAUAGAGAGAGAAUAAAAAUGACCUAGAGAAGUUAGUCACCAGAUUAGCAGGCAAGGAAGAAGAAAAAGAAAAGCAAACUAAAAGUAUGAUAAAUAGGAAACUCAAGUAAGAUUGUAGAAAGAAGUCCAAAUAUUAUUUUUUUCCUUUUAGGACCACACCCGCAGCAUAUGGACAGGGGUCAAACGAGCUGCAUUGACCAGCCUGCAGCAUACCACAGCAAUGCCAGAUUCGAGCUGCAUCUGCAACCUAUGUGGCAGUUUGUGGCAACCCUGGGUCCUUAACCCACUGAGCAAGGCCAGGGAUUGAACCCACAUCAUCAUGGAUAGUAGUUGGGUUCUUAACCCACUGAGUCACAAUGGGAAUUCCCAAAUAUUAUUAAUUGCAAUAAAUAUACAUAGUUUAGGUUUAAUUUAGCAAAUUAAAGUAUGAUAAAUAGGCAACUCAAAUAAGAUUAUAAAAAGAAUAUUGGGGAAAUAACUAUUAAAAAAUAAAUAAAUAAAUAAUUUUUUAAAAAAGAUUAUAGAAAGGGUCCAAGUGUGUGUGUGCGUGUGUGUGUGUGUAUAUAUACACAUUUUUUUUUUUUUUAGGGCCACACCUGUAGCAUAUGGAGUUUCCCGGGCUAGGAGUCAAAUCAGAGCUGCAGCUACCAGUCUGCACCACAGCCACGGCAAUACAGGAUCUGAGCCUCACUACAGCUCAAGGCAAUGCCAGAUCCUUAACACGCUGAGCAAGGCAAGUAUCCUUGUGGAUACUAGUUGGGUUCAUUACCUCUGAGCCACAACAGGAACGCCCCAAGUAUAUUAUUAAUCACAAUAAGUAUACAUGGUUUAAGCCAACAACAAAAAUAUUCAGGCUGGAUUAAAAAAAACUAUAUCCCUUGUUUACAACUUACAUAGUUUAAGAACAUAUUACCAAGGAGUUUGAAAAAUUAUGAUUAAAUAAAACUAUAUACCAGGAAAAUACUAAUCAAGAAUUGUUGAUGUUAUUAACAUUAAUACCAAACAUAAGAAUUUAAGGCCAAAAGGAUUGAUAGAGGUGAUUUGUAGGGAUCAAAAGGAACUAUCUACCAUGAAGACAUAUAGUCAUAAAAGAUUCAUGAACUUGUGUGCACUUAACCACAUAAAGCAAAAUUUAAUGGGACAAUGUAGAAAAUUUGCAAAUGCACCAUCAAAAAUGAAUAGACAAGCAGACAAAGAAUAUCAUAAAAUCAAUACGCUUGAUACCACAUGAGAUUUACAUAGGUAUACACACACAGUCAACAGUGAAAAAUAGUUCAUGGCACUUCUCCAAGACACUAAGUUCAGCCAUUUUACAGGUGAAUAUUACCAAGCAUACAGGAGAAAAUUCCCUUCCUUUGUUUUAUUUCACAAAAUAAAAAUUAAAAACCAGGUAUAACCAACUCAACUCAUUAUAACAUGCUGCUCAGACCUUGUCUUUCAGACCAACCCUUGGAGCUAUCCAGUUCUUUGACAAGGGCAGUUCUUUCAACAACGUGGCCAUUCAGAACCACUUCAUUGAGUCAGAAAUUCUUCUGAGGGGGUCUUUGCUUAACUGCUUCAGUUAUCUCUCUGCUGGUCACUGCUCUUCUGUGGUUGAAAUACACAGAGAAGGCAUAUUAUAGAAUACCUGAGAUGAAAAUAUACAAUUGCAUGCAUAGUAUAAUAUAAACUCUUAAAAAGCAAGCAAGCAAAUAUCUGACUAGAAGAAAAAAUUUUAACUCUGGAAGAAAAACAUACUGUAACAUUAAAUAAAGUUAUGUUUGAAUAAU
ensembl:lncRNA